rnacentral:rRNA from 1 species
CCUACGGGAGGCAGCAGUGGGGAAUAUUGCACAAUGGGCGAAAGCCUGAUGCAGCAACGCCGCGUGAGCGAUGAAGGCCUUCGGGUCGUAAAGCUCUGUCCUCAAGGAAGAUAAUGGCGGUACUUGAGGAGGAAGCCCCGGCUAACUACGUGCCAGCAGCCGCGGUAAU